rnacentral:sRNA from 1 species
AUCCUUUUUACAGAGCGGUACAUUUUAUGAUAGGUGAAUUUUGUUUAUUAACACAUUUUUGGAGGUAACAAAAUGAAAAACGGUAAAGUAAAAUGGUUUAAUGCAGAAAAAGGUUUCGGAUUCAUCGAAGUUGAAGGCGAAAACGAUGUAUUCGUACACUUCUCCGCUAUCCAAGGCGAAGGCUUCAAAACUUUAGAAGAAGGACAAAGCGUACAAUUCGACGUAACUGAAGGCGCACGCGGUCCUCAAGCUGAAAACGUAAUUAAACUUUAAGAAUUGUUUAUAAAGGCUAUCCACUGAAAGCGGAUAGCCUUUU